rnacentral:rRNA from 1 species
AUUGAACGCUGGCGGCAUGCCUUACACAUGCAAGUCGAACGGUAACGCGGGGCAACCUGGCGACGAAUGAAGCACGGGUGAGUAAUGCAUCGGAACGUGCCCAGUAGUGGGGGAUAGCCCGGCGAAAGCCGGAUUAAUACCGCAUACGACCUACGGGUGAAAGGGGGGGAUCGCAAGACCUCUCGCUAUUGGAGCGGCCGAUGUCAGAUUAGGUAGUUGGUGGGGUAAAGGCCUACCAAGCCGACGAUCUGUAGCUGGUCUGAGAGGACGACCAGCCACACUGGGACUGAGACACGGCCCAGACUCCUACGGGAGGCAGCAGUGGGGAACUUUGGACAAUGGGCGAAAGCCUGAUCCAGCCAUGCCGCGUGCGGGAAGAAGGCCUUCGGGUUGUAAACCGCUUUUGUCAGGGAAGAAAUCUUCUGGGUUAAUACCUCGGGAGGAUGACGGUACCUGAAGAAUAAGCACCGGCUAACUACGUGCCAGCCGCCGCCGUAACAC